ACAGCUCAAAGAGAAGCACAAGCAGAGCGGCGGGAGCGUGGGUGCGCUGGAGGAGCUGGAGAACGCCUUCAGCCUGGCCGAGGAGUCCUGCCCCGGCAUCUCAGACAAGCUGAUGGUGCACCUGGUGGAGCGAGUGCAGAGGUUUUCACACAACAGAAACCACCUGACAUCCACCCGCUGAAGCGCGCUGCUGUUCAGAUAGGGGACGGAAGGUCGUUUGUUUUUGUUCUGAGCUCCGUAAGAACUGUGCUGACUUGGAAGGUGCCCUGUGCUGUGUCGUGCCUGCAGGGACACGUCGGAUCCCGUGGGCCUCACAUGCCAGGUCACCAGGUCACCGUCUCCUUCCACCCCUGCAGUGUGCUGUUCUGCACGUCAGGGACGCUGUUCUCUAUGCCCACUGCCCUCCUCCCUCUCCUGGCCCAGCAGUAUUGCUCACGGGGGCUCCAGCAGCCGGCGUGGCCCUCAUGAGCUACGCCUGGGUCUUCUGCAGACUCAUGCAGCCCUAUGGCCGCUCAGACCAAGGCGCAGAGCAACUAUCAGGGCAGCUCUGCCUCCUCCUCCCAUGAGGUGGGGAGAGGCAACAGGGCAGCCCCCAGAGGAGUGUCCUGGCCGCUGUCCUCCCGGGGCCCAUGAUGGCCAUAGAUUUGCCUUGUGGUGUUGGAUCAGGUACUGUGUCUGCUCAUAAGUACUUGUGUCAUCCAGAAUGUUUUGUUUUUUAAGAAAAUUGAAUUGUUUCCUGAAAUAUUCUGAGGUUAAUAUGUUAGUUUUCAUAGAACAUUGAGAGGCCCCUGCC
rnacentral:sRNA from 1 species